rnacentral:misc_RNA from 1 species
GUUUGAAGUAAAAUUUUGCACACCUGCAACGUGAGAGAGCAGUCUGCAGUUAGCGGUGUAGGGGUGCUAAUGUGUUUUUGGGUACGGAAUUACAACAAUGGUGGCGUGAAACUCGGGCGUUCUUAGCCACCAGAUAGGGAACAAUGCACUCAGGACUGUGGCAUAUUAUAGCGAGCUUCGCACGAUCCGUAGAUCUCGCUAAACUGUUCGAGAGGAAAAUAAAAAAUGAUGUCGUAGUUUUGUAUUGCGGAGAAACGAAGAAAGAUAGUGAGAAAAAUAGAAAAAAGGAUAAUCCCCAAUAACCGAGGUGCGGGAUCGAGGAACACUUGACGU